rnacentral:rRNA from 1 species
GCGCGAAAACUUUACAAUGCUGGCAACAGCGAUAAGGGAACCUCGAGUGCCAGGUUACAAAUCUGGCUGUCGAGAUGCCUAAAAAGCAUUUCAUAGCAAGGGCCGGGCAAGACCGGUGCCAGCCGCUGCGGUAACACCGGCGGCUCGAGUGGUAACCGUUAUUAUUGGGUCUAAAGGGUCUGUAGCCGGCCGGAUAAGUCUCUUGAGAAAUCUGGCAGCUUAACUGUCAGGCUUUCAGGAGAUACUGUCUGGCUCGAGGCCGGGAGAGGUGAGAGGUACUUCAGGGGUAGGGGUGAAAUCUUGUAAUCCUUGAAGGACCACCAGUGGCGAAGGCGUCUCACCAGAACGGACCUGACGGCAAGGGACGAAAGCUAGGGGCACGGAC